rnacentral:lncRNA from 9 species
AGUGGAGUCCGUGGAUUCAACAGAAACCCGCUCCCAUCCUCCUUCGCUCGCUCUCUCUCCCUCUGCUCUGGACUGAAGGUCCACAUCCCAACUUCCCUUGCGGCCGUACUGGGGGGUGGGGCUUCGGGGAGACAAGUAGGCCGUGGGGGCGGAGCUUCGUGGGUGGGAUUCCUGAUGUAACGCCCCCUCACCCCCCCACCGAGUGAGGACACAGAGAGAAAGCUGCCCGCUAGGAACUGGGAGGAAGCUUCUCAGCAGACACUGGAUCUACUGGUGCCUUGAUCUUGAACUUCCAGCCUCCAGAACUGUGAGAACUCAUUUCUCUUGUCUGAGCCACUGCGUCUGUGGUAGUUUUGUUAUAGCAGCUGGAAUGCACUAAAACACCUCUCUGUCCUCUCCCCUUUCAGAAUGGGGAGAUCUCAGGGACCCUAAAGGACAUCCUGGAGCACAGAGCUCGCUGGCCCCCUCUGUCAUGCACCCUGGCUGAUCUUUAUAAUCCAUAGGGGAAAUCUGCUGCAUGAUGGGCUGGCUGUCCAGGUGAGAGGUGUCUUUUUCCACAGCUCUUGGUCUUAGAUCAUUAAGACUGGAAGGCUGAACAGUCUGGGAGACUCAAAAGAUGUCCCUGCUAUCAGCGGCUUAUUCUCUUGUUUCUUAGGUGCUGGCCACCAAAGCAUCUCAGUGAAGGCUUAUGGACAGUGUCACCUGAUAGUGUUUGUGAAAAGCAACUCACAGGAGCUGAGGACCAGAAGGGCCUGGACUAUGCCCCCAGGCUGUGCGCCAGACAGGAGGAGGCCAGCUGGCUUUGAGAUCGGCCGAGCCCCUGAGCUAUGCAGACGCCCCGCUGGAGGAGCCAGGGAAUGCGGAGGUGCAGGCAGCGGUGGCAAAGGAAACCCAUGACCAUAUACAAGGAGGCCCGCUCUCCUCUGCCUGGACCCAGAGCUGGGAACAGGAUGCACAAGAUCUCAAGUGCAGUGUGCAGGAUACUGUGAACGUGGCAGGACAUCAUUCAUUCAUUCAUCACUCCCUCGUUCAUCCCUUCAGUAAGAUUUCCUGAGCUCUUCCACCAUUCUCAGGAAUACGAAGAAUGAGGCACCAUGCAGAGCAGUUAAGGGCGUCGUGAAGUCUGUCGAGACUGGAGUGGAACAGUCUUCGAAUCGGCAUCCCCAGCAUGGAGCUUAGGAAAGUUUUAAGCCUCCUGCUGGACUCUUGGUUUCCUCAGCUGUAAAAUGAGGAUGCUAACAGGACCUACCACCAGAGGUCUUUAAUAAGAGAAGAGAAAUAAGCGAGAUGAUGGAUAAAUCAUCAAGAAUGGGGCUUGGCAGAUAAUAAAUGCUCAGAAAUGUUAGUUAUAAUUUGACAUGUAUUCUUCCUUCCCAAACUGUAAAAUAUAGAAGAUUUGCAAAACUUGUACAUAAAUAAUGAUGACAUGAGAUAGAAAAAUAUAUGUACUUGGAAGAAAGGUACUGAUGGAGUACUGAGCCAGGCUUUUCUCUUUUAUCAUUUGAAUAUUUU